CCUUAUACCCCAACCACAUAGAGUGUUAGAAAGAAAGCUGCCAUAAAAAAUAUAAAAACACUAAACAGAAGAUAUAAACGAAAAGCAAUUCAUUAAACAAAAAAAAAAAGGAAUUACGACAGAAGAAUUACAUCUGAUUUCUCUUUUUCAACGCUCAGUCUAAACUCGUUGUCUGAAUCUCGUAUCCUUCGUUCGUUUCAUAUAAGUUUAGAAAAAUACCGAUCAUCCCCAGUGCAAAUGGCAAAGAAAUUAGUGGUUAGUACAUGCGGUCUCAAGUUCGAAUCCUAAUUGAUUUAUAUUUUUAAGUAAAUUUAUUUUUUAAAAAAUAAACGAAAUAUAUAGCAUAUUAAUUUUCUCUCAAAAAAAA
rnacentral:lncRNA from 1 species